GGAGGUAGUGACAAUAAAUCACAAUGCGGAACAAUGUUUUGCAAUUGGAUUGAGAACAACGUACAAACCUUAUCGAUAAACAAUUGGAGGGCAAGUCUGGUGCCAGCAGCCGCGGUAAUUCCAGCUCCAAUAGCGUAUAUUAACGUUGUUGCAGUUAAAAAGCUCGUAGUUGAAAUGAAGGGUAGUUGUGUAAUGAAUACAUUCGUGUAUUUUGUUAUUCUACUACCCUCCUUCUAAAUUCGAUAUAUGAGUAUUAAUUUACUUGUAUAUGGUUUUAGACGUUUACUGUGAGAAAAUUAGAGUGUUCAAAGCAGGCAUUUGCUUGAAUAUAUUAGCAUGGAAUAAUCAUGUAUGAUUUUCAUGAUGUAUUUGAUUGGUUUGGUUCAUGAGAAUAAGAUUAAAAGGGACAGUUGGGGGUAUUCAUAUUCAAUAGUCAGAGGUGAAAUUCUCGGAUUUAUGGAAGAUGAACAAGUGCGAAAGCAUUUACCAAGGAUGUUUUCAUUAAUCAAGAA
rnacentral:rRNA from 1 species